GACGGAGGGUGCAAGCGUUGCUCGGAAUCACUGGGCGUAAAGGGUGCGUAGGCGGUCUCGCAAGUCUGGCGUGAAAGCCCAAGGCUCAGCCUUGGAAGUGCGCUCGAAACGGCGAGGCUGGAGUGCCGGAGGGGAGAGUGGAAUUCCCGGUGUAGCGGUGAAAUGCGUAGAGAUCGGGAGGAAUACCGGUGGCGAAGGCAGGUCUCUGGGCCACUACUGACGCUGAGAAGCGAAAGCGUGGGGAGCGAACAGG
rnacentral:rRNA from 1 species